AAGGUGGCAUCUGUAAACCAAGAAGCUGUAAAAGGCCAAGAGGAGCGAGGUGGGGACAUCAGCGAGCGCGCAUUUAAAGAGGAGCGAGGUGGGGACAUCAGCCAGCGCGCAUUUAAAGAGGAGCGAGGUGGGGACAUCAGCCAGCGCGCAUUUAAAGAGGAGCGAGGUGGGGACAUCAGCCAGCGCGCAUUUAAAGAGGAGCGAGGUGGGGACAUCAGCCAGCGCGCAUUUAAAGAGGAGCGAGGUGGGGACAUCAGCCAGCGCGCAUUUAAAGAGGAGCGAGGUGGGGACAUCAGCGAGCGCGCAUUUAAAGAGGAGCGAGGUGGGGACAUCAGCCAGCGCGCAUUUAAAGAGGAGCGAGGUGGGGACAUCAGCGAGCGCGCAUUUAAAGAGGAGCGAGGUGGGGACAUCAGCGAGCGCGCAUUUAAAGAGGAGCGAGGUGGGGACAUCAGCGAGCGCGCAUUUAAAGAGGAGCGAGGUGGGGACAUCAGCGAGCGCGCAUUUAAAGAGCAGCAUCCCGGACGGCUCUUCUGAAACGUGGGUGAAAGGUGACCAAAACUCUCAGAGGUGACGCUGCGGGACACCAUCCAUCACACUGCGAAGGUGCCAUUAGCCGCACGGCAUGUCCAGC